rnacentral:rRNA from 1 species
AAGGGUGCGUAGGCGGCCUGUUAAGUCAGGGGUGAAAGACGGUAGCUCAACUAUCGCAGUGCCCUUGAUACUGAUGGGCUUGAAUGGACUAGAGGUAGGCGGAAUGAGACAAGGUAGCGGUGAAAUGCAUAGAUAUGUCUCAGAACACCGAUUGCGAAGGCAGCUUACUAUGGUCUUAUUGACGCUGAGGCACGAAAGCGUGGGGAUCAAACAGGAUUAGAUACCCCAGU